rnacentral:misc_RNA from 1 species
AGAUAAUACACCAAUCAUCUUCCGCUGGAUACCUGAUGUUUCUCUGAUAAGAUGGGCCUUUCAAGGGCUUUGCAUCAAUGAAUUUACUGGACUCAAGUUCGAUCGCCAACAUUCAUUUGAUGUUGAAAACGGUGAACAGGUAAACUACUUCAUGGAUACCAAUAUUUUAAAUUGCAGCAAAAUACGGAUUCUUGUUUUGGUGAAGAAAAACAAGGAAUUGUGGAAGAAAAGAUUGGCUUCUUUUAAUUAGAACUUUGGUCAUAUUGAAGAUUAACUUAAAAUUUCAUUUUAUCGGGGAAAAUGUCUGAUCAGUAUAACAAUACUCGAGAUAUUCUGUAAUGCUAUUUAUGUCUUUUAAUCUUUUAGGUUUAUGGUAAACUUGUCAUAUGCCUGUACAUUUUGCACGAAAUGUUUAAAAUAUUAAAAGUAAACUUACAUAGUAGUUUUAGUUACCAAUUCAAUUAGUUAUCUCUUUUUAGUUGCUAUUUUCACUCAACUACUUGUUCAAAUAUGACAAAAGGCAUACUUAUUACCCAAUGUUUUCUAUGCUCAAUUUUAUACACAUACACGCACAUGCACUUCAGUAAUAAUAAUAUUUGGCUGGCAGUGGCUGUAUAUUGGGAAUGCAUAAUCCCUCAACUGGCACAUUGAUGCAAAACCUUAGGAUUCCAAGAGGACUCUGGUAUAUAAAUCAAAAUUUUUCUUAAUCAAAAUGCAUAAGACCUGGUAAAUCUACAAUGACUUUUACAUCCUGUAUUUUCUUAUUUUUAGGGUAUUUCACUUAAUUUUCUGAUUCAUGCUUUUAGACUAAAAUUUCACGUGAGGUCAGCUGUAUAAUUGCAGUGAUAUGGAGUAUCUCUGCCACAAGUUGAUUAAAACUUGUAGAUUGACAUCCAGAGCCACCAAGUUUGUGUAUGCUUUUUACAGAUAAACUGGGUUAUACAAUCAGUUUCCAGGAAACCUUUAAU